UCAUGUCAUUGAGCUUGAUAGCAGGUGCCUUUAAGCACUGUGGACCCUCUUUGUCGGCAGAUGGUGACAAAUGACUCACCCAUCAUAAUCUAAAGUUUAAGGAAUGCAAACGAUCCACAAAGGAAAGUUUAAAUUGCUUUGAAAUGAAAAGAGAAAGUCUAAUGAUUUUAGAAGCCAACACAGAAGGAUCAUCAUUGCUGGGAGUCACAGCAACUGGAAAGGCCACAAGUCUAGGAAAUUCAAUCAAAGAUGACUUGUAAAACUAUGGACCCCUUCUCUGGAGGAACACCACUUAAAUCCAGGUUGUAUUGGAUUCCUGCAGCCACAGAUCUGCCAAAUAUGAGAUCACAGUCCUAAAAUUACAGCCUAUGCAAGCACACAUUCAACCACAGUAAAUGGAGACCUCAACCAAAUUACCUGGGAUGAUUAGCCCAGACUCUUCCCUCCUUAGACUAUUACCCAUCCUUAGGGGAGAUGUCACAUGUACUUUACAGACUGCUACCUUCUUCACUAUCUCAGUCAGAGACCACAUUAGAUUCCAGGCCUUUAAGUGAUAGAAGCCACCCUCAUGGUCACAGGUAUUUCUUCGUUCUUCUGAUUGCAUCAGUUUUGAAGUCAUAGGACAUGUGCACAAGUAACAAAACAUUGUAACAGCAAUACCAUCAAAGUAAAAAAGAGCGAGCCUGGACCUGGGAGGAAAGAAAAAUAGCCAGAAACAGCAACAUCUUGUUUGUCAAAGUUACUAGCUUUGGGCUAAGAAGGCCCAUUCUAUCAACUGCCCGCCCCACUGCAUUCUAGCCCCUGCCCUGGAUUUCAGAGCCUUGAUUCAGAAGGGUGUCUCACCUCACAUCUGGAGCCUCCGUUGAUCCUUGCAGAAGGCAGGGCAGGCACUGUAAUCCGUUUCACAGGAAAGGAAAUUGAAGCACGGAGAGGUGACACCAUUAGCUUGUAAAUCUCAGAGCUCUAUUGGAACCAGGAAUUUCUGAUGCCGCUAGAAGUCACUCGACUGGCUCCUUUCUCUGAAGACCGCAUGGGCACUCCAUCACUGUGCCAUUCCCAGGACUGCAGGUGGUAGGCAGACUGGCAGAUGUUUUGUAGGACUGUGUUGAUAGUUCAGUGGGCCAGAACAUCUGGGACAGCGAAGCUCUGGAGCUUAGACAGAACCCCCUGCUGUGUACAGGGGCACCACCCUCUCUGAUUAGCUUGCAAGUUUUGGCUGAAUUUGGGUUGUGAAGGUGACACCUCCUCUGGUGGGAAUACUGGGGCCAUGAAGGAUGCAACAGCUAUGCUCCAUUCCUCCAGA